AUUGAACGCUGGCGGCAGGCCUAACACAUGCAAGUCGAGCGGAUGAAGGGAGCUUGCUCCUGGAUUCAGCGGCGGACGGGUGAGUAAUGCCUAGGAAUCUGCCUGGUAGUGGGGGAUAACGUCCGGAAACGGGCGCUAAUACCGCAUACGUCCUGAGGGAGAAAGUGGGGAUCUUCGGACCUCACGCUAUCAGAUGAGCCUAGGUCGGAUUAGCUAGUUGGUGGGGUAAAGGCCUACCAAGGCGACGAUCCGUAACUGGUCUGAGAGGAUGAUCAGUCACACUGGAACUGAGACACGGUCCAGACUCCUACGGGAGGCAGCAGUGGGGAAUAUUGGACAAUGGGCGAAAGCCUGAUCCAGCCAUGCCGCGUGUGAAGAAGGUCUUCGGAUUGUAAAGCACUUUAAGUUGGGAGGAAGGGCAGUAAGUUAAUACCUUGCUGUUUUGACGUUACCAACAGAAUAAGCACCGGCUAACUUCGUG
rnacentral:rRNA from 1 species